CCAAUCAACAGCCAGAACCGAUGGUUGCGUAGUGUCCCCACCCCCUCGGGCACGCCUCUCUUCGAUAAGCCACGCCCAACUGCCCUCCAGCCGCCUUCCCUUUCGGCGGUUUCCGCGCGGUCCUAAUGUGUGGUGGCUGACCGCGGGCUGGGGUGGGGAAGGACGCGGUAGGACUGUAGGAGAUGGCUAGGUGUGCUAGAGCGCGGCAAGGCGCUGCUGAGACCCGCGUGUGCGGAGGGAAGUGGGGAACUGCCCCUUUUCCAAGGGCCUGAACACAGCUUUUGACUACUGACUGUCCUGUUCUGCCUUCCUCUUCGCGUGGGCCACCGCCCCACAGCGCCGCUGGGUUCCCUUCGCGGCCGCAUGGUACGCGUCCCGGGAGCGAAGCUUCCCCUGGGGGGAGCGCGCUAACCUGAGCUCCUUCGGUGCACCGCCCUGCCGACUGUCUGGAAGUCAGCAAUGGGAUAUUCCCACCACAACUUUACCGGGAUCUCUGGGUUGACUCUCUGGGUUGAGGAUCGGGGAGCUGGGUCGGGAGGCUGGCUUGUGGCUGUGGUUGAGGGGCCCGGACGCCUCGAAAGCAGGAGGGUGCCCAGGCGAAGUGCAGGCUGCACCAUGCAAUCUUCCGGGCGCAGAGGCGACCCAACCCGACCUGAGGGAGAUCCACGGGCUCUGGGCCGAGGGGAGACGCAGUGGAAUGAACUGAACUGCUGGUCCACAAGAACAGUUUUUCUAUCAAAGGAUACCAUCAAAUUCUGGAGAAGUUCUACAAAUCAUAAUCUAUUUCCCUUUUUCCAGAAAGGAAUUCUAGUAGCAUGUAUCCAACUGUUUCAAACCUCCACCUGCUACAUGGGCGUGGCUUCUGAGAUCGACAUGCUUCCAACAGCUUAUACAGAGUGA
rnacentral:lncRNA from 1 species